UACGUAGGGUGCGAGCGUUGUCCGGAACUACUGGGCGUAAAGAGCUCGUAGGUGGUUUGUCGCGUUGUUCGUGAAAACUCACAGCUUAACUGUGGGCGUGCGGGCGAUACGGGCAGACUGGAGUACUGCAGGGGGAGACUGGAAUUCCUGGUGUAGCGGUGGAAUGCGCAGAUAUCAGGAGGAACACCGGUGGCGAAGGCGGGUCUCUGGGCAGUAACUGACGCUGAGGAGCGAAAAGCGUGGGGGAGCGAACAGG
rnacentral:rRNA from 1 species